rnacentral:rRNA from 1 species
GACGAACGCUGGCGGCGUGCUUAACACAUGCAAGUCGAACGGAAAGGCCCUUCGGGGUACUCGAGUGGCGCACGGGUGAGUAACACGUGGGUGAUCUGCCCUGCACUUUGGGAUAAGCCUGGGAAACUGGGUCUAAUACCGAAUAGGACCACGCGCUUCAUGGUGUGUGGUGGAAAGCUUUUGCGGUGUGGGAUGGGCCCGCGGCCUAUCAGCUUGUUGGUGGGGUAAUGGCCUACCAAGGCGACGACGGGUAGCCGGCCUGAGAGGGUGACCGGCCACACUGGGACUGAGAUACGGCCCAGACUCCUACGGGAGGCAGCAGUGGGGAAUAUUGCACAAUGGGCGCAAGCCUGAUGCAGCGACGCCGCGUGAGGGAUGACGGCCUUCGGGUUGUAAACCUCUUUCAAUAGGGACGAAGCGCAAGUGACGGUACCUAUAGAAGAAGCACCGGCCAACUACGUG